CUUUUGGAAAAAUACGAUUUGUGUCUUCAGACUGCAGGCAAAUCAAAUGGUGUGCACCCCACUUUGAAUCCUUGGUCUGGCUAUCUCCGAUCCUCCAGAAGUGAUGGCCGGCUUACAAACUGCGUCUCACUCUGGUUGCCUCUGUAGGAUCCCGCACGUCCUGGCCCUGGACGUAUUGCCGAAAACGCUCACAAAAAAAUAAAACAAAAAUUGGUUCGGUUAUUUUGUCCCCUUUUAUAGCUCACAUGUAUCUGGAGAAGACUGGAU